UGCCAGCAGCUGUGGGUGAAGGAGCUCUCCCAGAGCAAGCAAAGGGGAGCAGCCUGACUGCAAGAGAAGCUUCUGAUACUGUUUUGCAAAGAGCUCUCUGCAGGCUGGCAGAGUUCCAACCUGUAGGGGGCUGGACGGGAGCAGGAGGAGGACAAUCGGGCAGGGGUCACCACGUGUACAUGCACAUGGAUGCCAGGCAUGGAGAGCAGCUCCUGUAGAAAGGAAGAUUUGUUAGUCUGUCGGUUGUUUGAAUAGCUGCUGGAUUACAUACUGGGACAAAUGAAGGCUCAGUUACAAAGACGGAGCCACUGGAAAACUUCAGGAAAACACUGGGAGUGAUGCAUGCUGGGAGUCUGAACUCAAAGUAGUAGCUCUAGCACUUGGGAUGAAGUGAUUCUUGCUAAGUAUACUCCUGGAGUUGGAGUGCCUGCAUUUGCUCUCAUUUAUGCUGUUGUAAGUCAAUUUACAUCCAUAGAGUUACUCUAGGUCCUCCUCAGUUGGAGUCAACCCCACCAACAAAUAUAUGCUUUUCCAUCCAAAUGCAUUGUCUGAUCUUGAUCUCGCUUGCAUCGAAAGUUUCUGUAGGUCUGUAGCUUUCAGUCUGUGCAAUCCUGGGCAAUAUAUAAAGCAAAUGCCAGUACAGUUGCCAGUACCAUUGUAGCAAAGCAUGGACUUUGCAUUGAACUUGGCACAGGGAGAUCUGAACCUGUCUCUGACAGGAAGCAAAUGGCGAAACAGCAGCUCUGGAGUUAAUCUCUAUUUUGUAGUCAGCAGCUUUGAAUAAUAUUAAAAAAAAAAAAUCCUAUUCCAGAUCUAUUACAAAGCAAAAUUCAGCAUGUUUGGUCAAACAAUUUAUAGUUCAGAGUAAUAGGUUCUCUGAUUACCUUCAUUAAAUUGAUUUGUGAUAUGUUAAAGCAUUUUACAGCUUGGAUGUUCCUUUAAAAAUAUGCGAGUCAGAACCUGCUAUAUCACUAGAGCAACUUUCCUUAUAUGAAGAUUUGAGACAAAUUCUUUGGGUACAGAGGAGUUGACUUUAUGAUCGUGGAUGCCAGCUCUUAAGUAGCCUGGUUGAAAUAACAUUAAGGCUUUCGAGAGCUGUAAUUUCAUGUUGCCUUCUAGCUUUUUUCUAGCUUUUUUUCAAGUUGUCCUAUGGCAGUUGCUGUGCUUUGGUGAGUAAUCAGUUGAUACAUACAGGUAACCUGAUACCCUGAGAACUCACUGGCAUAUCUGUCCAUGCAGCACACCUGUCCUGAGAAAAUCUAGAUAUUGGUUUUAAACAUCUCUUCUGUGUGGCUGUUCUAGAAACGAUUAUUGAUGGGUCCCAAGGAUCUUCCAUAUCAAUUCUGUUCAUGCAGAAUGCUCAGUGAAUCUACAACUCCAGUGAAAAUAGGCUUUGGCCUAAUGUGCAUAGACACAGACUUUCCAACCCAUUAUAAUACAUAUGCAGUACUGAUUCCCAGACUUCAGGUGCAGACUUCAGAGGCCUGGAAGAUAUUAUAUAUGUGAAGGUUGAAGCAAAUCUUAUAGUCAACAGGCCUAGUUUAAUCUAGUCUUGUCUAGUAUUUUUAUGUAGGUAUAUAGAGUACGUAGUGUGUAAAGCCCAGGGAACAGGUAUCAGGGGAGCAUAUGGAUUCUCUUGCUAUUUCCUGAAAUGAUGUAUAUACUUUCUAAUAAAAGUUCCCUGUGUUACUACAAAUCCAAAAUUGGCAACACUACCCUAAUGAAUGGGGAACAUAAAGUGAAUUGACUAGAAUUUCAUUAUUAUGCAACU